GUGAGCGUAGCCGAGAGGCCUAAGGCAUCUGGUUGUGGCCCAGAAGACCGUGGGUUCGAAUCCCACCGCUCACCCCA
rnacentral:tRNA from 1 species